CCCAGACAGCCAGGAUGUUGGCUUAGAAGCAGCCAUCAUUUAAAGAAAGCGUAAUAGCUCACUGGUCGAGUCGGCCUGCGCGGAAGAUGUAACGGGGCUAAACCAUGCACCGAAGCUGCGGCAGCGACGCUGUGCGUUGUUGGGUAGGGGAGCGUUCUGUAAGCCUGUGAAGGUGUGUCGUGAGGCAUGCUGGAGGUAUCAGAAGUGCGAAUGCUGACAUAAGUAACGAUAAAGCGGGUGAAAAGCCCGCUCGCCGGAAGACCAAGGGUUCCUGUCCAACGUUAAUCGGGGCAGGGUGAGUCGACCCCUAAGGCGAGGCCGAAAGGCGUAGUCGAUGGGAAACGGGUUAAUAUUCCCGUACUUGGUGUUACUGCGAAGGGGGGACGGAGAAGGCUAUGUUGGCCGGGCGACGGUUGUCCCGGUUUAAGCGUGUAGGCUGGUUUUCCAGGUAAAUCCGGAAAAUCAAGGCUGAGGCGUGACGACGAGGCACUACGGUGCUGAAGCAACAAAUGCCCUGCUUCCAGGAAAAGCCUCUAAGCAUCAGGUAACAUCAAAUCGUACCCCAAACCGACACAGGUGGUCAGGUAGAGAAUACCAAGGCGCUUGA
rnacentral:rRNA from 1 species